rnacentral:lncRNA from 1 species
CUCCCGUGUUUAGCAGUGACACUGUCCAGGUAGAUGAUGCCCAUUUGUCUUCCUUUGCGUAAAUAUUUCUUCAGGGUAGCUUUAUUUGUUAUACCUGUUUCUUCUUACUCACUAGGCUUAGCUCUGCCAGAAGUUAGAAAAGAGGCUGUUUGUCUGAAGAGACGAGGGUGUGGUAAAAAUACGCUGUGCCAGUCAAGUCGACCAAAAUACAAUCUGAAUUACAAAGCAAGCUGGAAAACAAAAUUUAACAGAAGAUCUGGACCCCACCUGUGCCCUCCCAGGAGGGAUGGAAAGAAAAGGACUCCUGGGACCUGCACAUGCACAGCUCCCUGCAGGUUCAUCCAAAUGAUCGUGAAAUUCCUGAGAAAGUUAUUACUUUCAAGUCACAGUAACAGAGUAAUUUCCAGUUACCCCCAGUGA